rnacentral:rRNA from 1 species
CUACGGGCUGCAGCAGUGGGGAAUAUUGCACAAUGGGCGCAAGCCUGAUGCAGCAACGCCGCGUGAACGAUGAAGGCCUUCGGGUUGUAAAGUUCUUUUCUUAGGGAAGAAUAAAUGACGGUACCUAAGGAAUCAGCCCCGGCUAACUACGUGCCAGCAGCCGCGGUAAUACGUAGGGGGCAAGCGUUAUCCGGAAUCAAUGGGCGUAAGGGGAGUGUAGGCGGUCAAGCAAGUCAGAGGUGAAAGGCAUCGGCUCAACCGAUGUAAGCCUUUGAAACUGUUUGACUUGAGUGCAGGAGAGGUAAGUGGAAUUCCUAGUGUAGCGGUGAAAUGCGUAGAUAUUAGGAGGAACACCAGUGGCGAAGGCGACUUACUGGACUGUAACUGACGCUGAGGCUCGAAAGCGUGGGGAGCGAACAGGAUUAGAUACCCCCGUAGUC